UCGGGGAUCGUUUAAUGGUAGGACGAGGCACUUUGGAUGCCUUCAUGUGGGUUCGACUCCUACUCCCCGAGCCA
rnacentral:tRNA from 1 species